AUUGAACGCUGGCGGCAGGCCUAACACAUGCAAGUCGAGCGAGCGGCGGAUGGGGGAGUAAUGUAUGGUGAUCUGCCCGUUAGAGGGGGAUAAGUACGGGAUACGGUUGCGAAUACCGCAUACUAUCGGUUGAACCCAUAGGGGAUUAUCUAGUAGGUGGGGUAAAGGUGAACCUAGGCGACGAUCUCUAGCUGGUCUGAGAGGAUGAUCAGCCCCACUGGAACUGGGGCGCGGCCCGGACUCCUACGGAGGGCAGCAGUGGGAGAUAUUGCACAGUGGGCGCAAGGCUGAUGCUGCCAUACCGCGUGUAUGACGAAGGCCUUAAGGUUGUAAAGUACUUUCAGCGGGGAGGCGUUACCCGCAGAAGAAGCACCGGCUAACUCCGUGCCAGCAGCCGCGGUAAUAC
rnacentral:rRNA from 1 species